UUACCAGCCAGGCUNCUGGCUAAACUCCAGCUCUUAGCUGGAUUUUAGCCAAAGCUUGGCUGUGAA
rfam:Neotoma lepida isolate 417 scaffold_28221, whole genome shotgun sequence.